UAAUAUUAUAUGCAAAUUUUUGUGUGAUUGUUUUAUCUCUUAAAGAGAAUUAUUUUUGUAUUUGCAGUUGUUUAUUUUGUUUUUCUUAGCAAUAAGGAAACAGUUAAUUUUAUUAGAAUUGUUUAAGGUUGUGCCAGCAAACGCGGUUACACAAUCAAUUCAAGUUAAUUUUUUU
rnacentral:rRNA from 1 species